UACGUAGGGCGCAAGCGUUAUCCGGAAUUAUUGGGCGUAAAGAGCUCGUAGGCGGUUUGUCGCGUCUGCCGUGAAAGUCCGGGGCUCAACUCCGGAUCUGCGGUGGGUACGGGCAGACUAGAGUGAUGUAGGGGAGACUGGAAUUCCUGGUGUAGCGGUGAAAUGCGCAGAUAUCAGGAGGAACACCGAUGGCGAAGGCAGGUCUCCUGGGCAUUAACUGACGCUGAGGAGCGAAAGCAUGGGGAGCGAACAGG
rnacentral:rRNA from 1 species